CUCCUGUCUCUGAAAACCAGUCUCUCAAGGCCAGAGAAAAAUAAUAAUUCAAUGGGAAAAGUCAGCUACAGAAACAAUCAUGAGGGGAACAAACUAAGAAUCCUACACCAUGGAUUACACCAACAAGAGGUCACCCAGCCUCCUUUUGAAAACCUCUAACGAAAGGGAAACCCACUAGGAAAAAAAUUGCUUUGGUAGAUGGAAAGAGGAUGCAUAAGAAUGAGAAGAAUGAGGUAAGAACAAAGGUGAUAUAUAUUGUGGAUGAGUGAAUUGGAGAAAACCUGCAACAGAGCCAAAGGAGUAAAAUUUGCAGAAGCUGUCAAUCAAGGAGCAUUCCAGAAAAGAAUGUCACAAGAGGGAGACUAUUGAAGGGAAACAUCCAAACUGUUGGAGUUGUCUUUUUCUCCUGAGACAGGAAGGAAACUGAGAAGAUCCUCUUCUUACUGAAUUUAUCUCUUCUGUAUAAAAGUGACUCAAAGAUCCUCAAUCCUGUUAGCCAUAUUCCCUCAUGCAAGUCUCUACUAUACUAUUCUUAAAUUUAGGAUUAUUUUAAGAUUAGGGAAACCCUAAACCCUCUCUCCCAUCCAGUUUCCUUUCCUUCCCCUUUCCUUAAAUAAAGCCUUUGUUCUAACUAUUCA
rnacentral:lncRNA from 1 species